UGUGGCGUGUCUCAAUUGGGAGGAAGAUGCCCAAGUGAACAGAUUAAGUUCCAAACUGAGAAUCUUAUUUCACUGUCCAGCAGCUUUAAUAUGGGUUGAUGGAAGAUUUUUCAAAAUCGUCAAAGGAUCAGGAGCUCGAUGUUUCUUGAACUUCUCUAAACUCUGACAAUUCAUCCUUGGAAUGGUAAAGGAUGUUUGCAUGUACCUCCUGGUCCUUGUUGUGUGGAUUUGGCUCUAUAUAAGGAACAUCAAAUUGUGAUGUUGCUAAAUAAGAUGAAUGAUACUCGUGAAAACUUGGAAGAUGCCGAGAUGAUGAUCUUGCAGGCCAGUGACCUUCCAUUUGUGCAUAUUGCAGGAACCACUUGUGCAAAUAACUGGGAGUUGUACCAAUUGAA